UCGAGUCUAGGUUCUCUUCCAUGAGGCCUGACUUCCUAACCCAGUGUUAAAACUACACCUUUGAUGUUGCUUCGGCGGGACGGUCUUGUACCGCCGGAGGACUGGCUUCUGGCUGGUCUUCUGGAACGUUGCCCGCCGAUGGCCUUCUACAAAUACUUAUACUAAACCAUGAUGCCUAAAGUCUUAUCCAUGAAUAAUGGUAAAAACA
rnacentral:misc_RNA from 1 species